CAAUCACUUGUCUCUUAAAUGGGGACCUGUAUGAAUGGCACCACGAGGGCUUGACUGUCUCUACUUUCCGGUCAAUGAAAUUGAUCCCCCCGUGCAGAAGCGGGGAUUACAGCAUAAGACGAGAAGACCCUAUGGAGCUUUAGACACUAAAGCAGAUCACGUCAAACACCCCUAAUUAAAGGAAUAAACCAAAUGAACCCUGCCCUACUGUCUUUGGUUGGGGCGACCGCGGGGAAAUACAAAACCCCCACGUGGAAUGAGACCACCUGUCUUAAAACCAAGAGCUCCCGCUCUACUAAACAGAACUUCUGACCAAUAAGAUCCGGCUCUGACCGAUCAACGGACCGAGUUACCCUAGGGAUAACAGCGCAAUCCCCUUCUAGAGCCC
rnacentral:rRNA from 1 species